UACGAAGGGGGCUAGCGUUGCUCGGAAUCACUGGGCGUAAAGGGUGCGUAGGCGGGUCUUUAAGUCAGGGGUGAAAUCCUGGAGCUCAACUCCAGAACUGCCUUUGAUACUGAGGAUCUUGAGUUCGGGAGAGGUGAGUGGAACUGCGAGUGUAGAGGUGAAAUUCGUAGAUAUUCGCAAGAACACCAGUGACGAAGGCGGCUCACUGGCCCGAUACGUGACG
rnacentral:rRNA from 1 species